rnacentral:rRNA from 1 species
AUUGAACGCUGGCGGCAUGCCUAACACAUGCAAGUCGAACGGUAACAGGCCCUUCGGGUGCUGACGAGUGGCGGAUGGGUGAGUAAUACUUAGGAAUCUACCCUGUAGUGGGGGACGAACCCGGGGAAACGUACGGGCGUAAUACCGCAUACGCUCUACGGAGGAAAGACGGGGGACCGGCAAGGCCUCGCGCUAUUGGAUGAGCCUAAGCCCGACUUAGCUAGUUGGUGGGGUAAGUAGCCUACCAAGGCGAAUGAUCGGUAGCUGGUCUGAGAGGACGACCAGCCACACUGGGACUGAGACACGGCCCA